CGGAGGGUGCGAGCGUUGUCCGGAAUCACUGGGCGUAAAGGGCGCGUAGGCGGCCUGGUAAGUAGGGGGUGAAAUCCUGCGGCUUAACCGCAGGGCUGCCUUCUAAACUGUCAGGCUCGAGCACAGUAGAGGCAGGUGGAAUUCCCGGUGUAGCGGUGGAAUGCGUAGAGAUCGGGAAGAACAUCAGUGGCGAAGGCGGCCUGCUGGGCUGUUGCUGACGCUGAGGCGCGACAGCGUGGGGAGCAAACAGGAUUAGAUACCCUGGUAGUCCACGCCGUAAACGAUGGGCACUAGGCGUCGGGGGGAGCGACCCUCCCGGUGCCGUCGCUAACGCAGUAAGUGCCCCGCCUGGGGAGUACGGCCGCAAGGCUG
rnacentral:rRNA from 1 species